rnacentral:RNase_P_RNA from 2 species
AGAGGAGGCGAGGCGGUUGCAGGCGAAUCGCCUGAGGAAAGUCCGGGCUUCCGAAAGACCAAACUUGCUAGGUAACGCCUAGUGCGCGUGAGCGUGAGGAUAGUGCCACAGAAACAUACCGCCGCUAUAAAGUUAUGAGUUAUGAAUGCUGAGUUUUGAGUUAACUCCAUAACUUAAAACUUAAAGCUCAAAACUUAAAACUCCUGCGGUAAGGGUGCAAAGGUGCGGUAAGAGCGCACCAGCAACGUUGUGAGGCGUUGGCUCGGUAAACCCCGGUUGGACGCAAGGUAGAAGGAGUCAUGGUUGGUCUUUUUCCGGCUCCAGGUAGGGGUGGAAUUCCGCUCCUGCGAAAUCCGCUAGAGGUGCCUGGUGACAGGUAUCCCAGAUAGAUAACUGCCCUCUGAAUGGUAUGCCAUUUAGAAGAACAGAACCCGGCUUAUGUCCACCUCUUCCC